CCUACGGGAGGCAGCAGUGAGGAAUAUUGGUCAAUGGACGAGAGUCUGAACCAGCCAAGUAGCGUGAAGGAUGACUGCCCUAUGGGUUGUAAACUUCUUUUAUAUGGGAAUAAAAUGUUCCACGUGUGGGUUUUUGUAUGUACCAUCUGAAUAAGGAUCGGCUAACUCCGUGCCAGCAGCCGCGGUAAUACGGAGGAUCCGAUCGUUAGCCGGAUUUAUUGGGUUUAAAGGGAGCGUAGGUGGAUUGUUAAGUCAGUUGUGAAAGUUUGCGGCUCAACCGUAAAAUUGCAGUUGAAACUGGCAGUCUUGAGUACAGUAGAGGUAGGCGGAAUUCGUGGUGUAGCGGUGAAAUGCUUAGAUAUCACGAAGAACUCCGAUUGCGAAGGCAGCUUACUGGACUGCAACUGACACUGAGGCUCGAAAGUGUGGGUAUCAAACAGGAUUAGAUACCCGAGUAGUC
rnacentral:rRNA from 1 species